GCUGGGCAUGGUAGUGCCUGCCUAUAGUCCCAGCUACUUGGGAGGCUGAGGUGGGAGGAUCACUUGAGUCCAGGAGUUCUGGGCUGUAGUGCACUGUGCCAAUCAGGUGUCCACACUAAGUUCAGCAUCAAUAUGGUGACCUCCAAGGAAUAGGGGACCACCAGGUUGCCUAAGGAGGGGUAACAGGCCCAGGUCAGAAAUGGAGCAGGUCAAAACUCCUUUGCUGGCCAGGCGCGGUUGUUCACACCUGUAAUCCUAGCACUUUGGGAGGCCGAGGUGGGCGGAUCACCAGAGGUCGGAAGUUUGAGACCAGCCUGACCAACAUGGAGAAAUCCCAUCUCUA
ensembl:misc_RNA Metazoa_SRP Metazoan signal recognition particle RNA